CCUCCCUCGUGCAUUUCCCCUCCCUUUGGCGAAAUACUUAGGUAAUUAGUGCGUGUACCGACGGGCAGUCUUAAUUGUUCCCCUCCUCAGUCCGCCCGGGACUAAUUUUGCUGUCGCUUUUCGUUUUUAUUGCCAACGUUUUGUUGAAUUUUUGGCCAACAAAUUUCAUGUUUCAGAUAAUUUGAGUUUAAUGCGCUUCAAAUUAAAAUUAUUAAAAUUUAUCUUUCAUAUUGU
rnacentral:lncRNA from 1 species